AUGUUUCCUACCAAUGUUUCGUCAUGUUUCCAAGAGUGGGCAAGCGCUAGGAAACAUUAGUGAGAAACAUAGGGAAACAUCAAAUGUUUCCGAAUUCGCUAGGAAACAUUUUUGCUUCUCGGGAAGCAAAUUUUGUUUCCGCAACAAUGUUUCCACGGGUGGGCAAACAGGGAAACAUUUGAGGAAACAUCGAGAAUCACAAAUGUUUCCACAACAAUGUUUCCUAGUUUGCCCAGGGCUUAAGAUAACGUUGAAAGUGGAGCUCUUCCUUAUUCUCAAUUUCAGGUCACUUUACAAAACGUUCCCAAGCAUGUUGUGAAUAUUCCCAAUUGCGGUUCUAAAG